AAAAAAAAAAAACUAAAAAAAUAUGUCAGUAUGUGACAUAUGGUUAGUUCUGUCGAUUUUACCAUUCAGAAAAUGAUGUGCGCGUCACGUGUGACUUUUGAAAAAUAGUGUGCAACGACAUCUCGAACAUAAAAAAUACUCUUCAAGAAGGGACGUGUGGUGUGUGAUACACACAACUUUGAAGAUGAAAAAAAUAGAUUGAGUUAUGUUAUGAAUAACACAUUGCAAUAGAGUUUUGAAUGAAGUGGCAAAUGCACUGACGGAUCUAGUCAUGUUUUGGGUAGGCAGCUGCCUAUUCGAAAAUUGUUCAAAAAUUAAAAAAGGUAGAUAUGAAUCAAUAAGACCAAGGAAAAGAGAAAGGGAAGAAGAAAAAAGAGAGAGAGAGAGAAGGAAUCAACAAGCCAAGGGAAAAGAGGAAAAAAAGAAAGGGGGGAGAGAGGGAGAAAGAUGAGGAAGGGACAAAAGUGACAGGGAGUCACGUGAUUAGAUAUAGGUGGUAUUGGACUCUAUAAUUAUUUUAUAUUGAGUAAAAUUGUUUGGACACCCAACUUUUUUGUACACCCUAGCCCAAUUUCUUGUACACUAGAGCCUAGAUUUUUUUGCGAUAGAUGCUAAUUGUUUUUACAUAUAUUAAUUAUUAUUAUUUUUAUCAAAAUGGAUUUGAUUCUUUUUUUCUUUUUUUUCUUAUUUGAUGGAUGAUCAUAACAUGAUGGAUGCAAUAUCAAUUUUAUUAUUUAUAUUAUUUUAAUCAUCGUAUCAGUGGUGCUAUAUAUGUAUCCUAAUUUUUAGAAAUUUCUUAUAUCAGUGUACCUGUACUCAUAUCCAUGCAACGUAUAAGUUCUGCUUACUCAAAUCCGCCAUUGGGCAAAUGAGUUCAAAUUUGGUUUUUGUUUUUGUUUUUCAGUUGUAACAACGCCUAUAAUCACAGUGGUGUUAGUGUAAUUUGGUUGAUUAUUCCCACGAAGGAAGAAACGAAGUUAUUGUGAAGCAUCGGUCUAAAACUAAAAGUGUAAAGCGCGGGGCUGGGUUUGUUCUCUCCACUUUCAUUUUCAAACCAAAACAAAAUACCUCGGAUUCGCGAACUAAAAAAGUACACAUAAACAAAGCAUUACUCGUUAUCAAACCAAACCAAACCAAACCGAGGCAAAGCAAACCCCCCAAAACUUCACUGUCUGCCUCUGGAAUCGUGCUAUGGAAGCCCAUUCUUCUCUCACCCUCCCUUCUCUUAAAACCCGCAAAAACGCCACUUUUUUCUUCUUUCUCUUCUUCAUACAAACCACAUUUCCCCUCUUUCUCUUUGUUCUACCAGAGACUAGGGUUUAAACAUGUCUUCUGCUUCUCACUCCCAAACCCACCUUGGCCAUGGCCUUCACCAUAAUAUUCUACUGCACUCGUCUGAGACUUGCCUUGUUCAAAAAGGUUGUAGGUUCAGAGACAGAGAUGGUUGCUCCAAGGAAUGUGCUCCAUUCCAACAUUGUACAUGAAAGAUUUUCCUUCUUUUAAGGUACUGUUGGGUUUAUGUAUUUGAAAUACAUAAGAGGGUUUGGAAGUGGGGAAUGAAGCCAGUUGGUCCGUGUAGCAUAGUUAGAAUUGUAAUAAAUAGAAUUUUAAUAUUUUUUUGGAUAAUAUACUUUUCUGCUGCAAUUUCAAGUUUUAUUGUCGUUUUAUUUUA